rnacentral:lncRNA from 1 species
CUCAAAGCUUAUGCUGAUACUUCACAUUGCUAAGAAAAGCCUAGAAAGCAAUGGAGGUCAUUUAAAUGUGUGUAUUAGGUCUUUUUAAAUUUUUUUUUUUUUUUAAUAUGACCACCCUAUUUAAUUUGAAGUCUUUGCUAGGAAUUUCUUAAAAAGUGACUUCCUCUUAAAAAGUACGUACUGCUCAUGUGACACUUAAGUGCUGUGUGUACUGGGUAGUUUAGAAACAUCUUUCUCCAUAGUGGCCUCGGAAUGGUGUCUCCGCAGUCAGGUGUUUCUUCUUCUCCUGCAGAAUUGUGAGUGCAGGCGUUUCCAAUGUAUUCUUGAGAUUGUAGGCUAUUGGGGGUAGAAGGACUCCCAGGCUAUCUCACCCACUUAGUUUAUCUCCCUCCUUACACUAGUGAGUGGUUUGGUUUAAGUGCUCGUUUUAAAUGAUUAAUUUUAAUUCUAAAAAUCCCAAACAUGUAGAAAGUGUGGAAAGAAUCUGAGCAAUGUGCUUGUCUCCCUGCUGUAACACAUGUGAAGUGACAGGCUGAGCUCUGGACUUGGGCUCCGUCUCCUAGUUAGUGUUUCCUGUCCAUCCCAGUAGAAUGCUCUAUUCCUGUGUUUUUUUAUUUCCCUGAGGUGACAACAUGUAACAGGCUGAGAAGUUCUUCCUGCCAUGUUAAAAUUCAAAAAAUCAGACCUGAUUUCAGACCUCAUAGCAGUUGUCAAACUGCACCUGGACAAAGAACCCUGGCAUCUGUGCUCAGGUGGGGAUUUAGUCACCCUCUCUAACCCUGUUGUUUGGUUUAAGACCAUUUGCUUUCUCUGUAUUCAGCUUUACUUACCUCCCAUUUUAUUACAUACCCAUGUCCCUUAAGUUCUAAGCUUACCAAGUUACUUUCAUGUAUGUUUAAGAAACCUAAUUAUUUCAAAAGGAAACAUUUCUGAGCCCAUGAGAGCUUCUUCUAUAUAAUACAGAAAAACAUAAUGUGUAAUUUUUUGUUUACUUAUUUGAGCAUCUUUAACCAGCUUUUAUUCUGGCAUCUCUGUCCAUAGGCUUCUUCUCCCAUCUUCUCUGAAUUCAGUUCAAAAAUCUCGAGGACAUAUCUGACUGCCCAAUAUCCCUCCUCUAUCAUUUCUCUGCAUUUACAAAUGAUUUGGUCAUUGUCUUCUCAGGCGGUUGUCCCUUCAUGCCCAGUCAAUGAAAUUUUAUGAGCAUUAAGAGUCAGGCAGCGUUUCCUCUCAUGGUCUUUACCUCCUAAAUGAAGAGACAGGUUUCAAGUCAGAAGUUUUUUGAGGUUCUGCUUACUGAGGAAUGAGAUUCCAGCCUAACUAUCUUGCAGGCCCCUUUACAACUGUGCUAGGAAUGCUUUAUUCAUUUCCUUCCAUUUAGUAAACUAAUACAGGGAUGUUACUUCUGUUUCUUUUACUCUUACCCAAAUAUAACUUGCCAACUUCUAAUU